GGGACAACAGUUGGAAACGACUGCUAAUACCGCAUAAGCCCACGACCCGGCAUCGGGUAGAGGGAAAAGGAGCAAUCCGCUUUGAGAUGGCCUCGCGUCCGAUUAGCUAGUUGGUGAGGUAACGGCCCACCAAGGCGACGAUCGGUAGCCGGACUGAGAGGUUGAACGGCCACAUUGGGACUGAGACACGGCCCAGACUCCUACGGGAGGCAGCAGUGGGGAAUAUUGCACAAUGGGGGAAACCCUGAUGCAGCGACGCCGCGUGGAGGAAGAAGGUCUUCGGAUUGUAAACUCCUGUUGUUGAGGAAGAUAAUGACGGUACUCAACAAGGAAGUGACGGCUAACUACGUGCCAGCAGCCGCGGUAAAACGUAGGUCACAAGCGUUGUCCGGAAUUACUGGGUGUAAAGGGAGCGCAGGCGGGAAGACAAGUUGGAAGUGAAAUCCAUGGGCUCAACCCAUGAACUGCUUUCAAAACUGUUUUUCUUGAGUAGUGCAGAGGUAGGCGGAAUUCCCGGUGUAGCGGUGGAAUGCGUAGAUAUCGGGAGGAACACCAGUGGCGAAGGCGGCCUACUGGGCACCAACUGACGCUGAGGCUCGAAAGUGUGGGUAGCAAACAGGAUUAGAUACCCUGGUAGUCCACACUGUAAACCCUGAAAGGUAGGUGUUGGAGGAUUGACCCCUUCAGUGCCGCAG
rnacentral:rRNA from 1 species